GCCAUUGCUUUCAGAGAAUGUUGUCAUGCCUCGUCCCCAGUUUUGGUUAUGUGUCAUCGUUUCUGUGUCUGUGUGCUCGCCCCUCCCUUCCUGUGUGCCCUUGUUUAGUGUAAUCACACGCACCUGCCUCUCGUUACCUGUGUUGUAUUUAAGUUCUGUUUGAGUAUCACUCGCGGUCGGAGCAUUGUGUGCGUAAGAUGUGGACAAUGCAUGUCUCACGGUCAUGGUUUGUUUGGUUCCUGUCUUUUGUGUCACGCUUUGGUCUGUUAGUUGGUUGUUUAGUCACGUCAGUUUGCCGAGUCUUUUUGAGUUUGUUGCAAUAAACCCUGGUCCAAGCUGCACUUGGUCGCCCUGCUCCAUUUCUCCACUCCGUGACAGCCGUGACAGAAUGCUCCGACCAUCACAGCGACCAGCGCUUGGACCAGCUCCACCAUCAGCUCCCGUCCACGACGCCCGAUCCAUGCCCGUCGUCUGAGCAGGUUCCAGCGCCAUGGGCUUCGCGGCCGCCAUCAGAGUUCCUCCCGGUGCGACCGGCUCCGCUGUUCCCAUCGGACUUCGCCCAUCGGCGACGCCAGACCCGUGGCCGCCGUCGGCCUUCGCUCCAGCGACGCUGGAUCCGCGGCCGCCAUCGGGAUUCCUCCCGCCGCCAUCGGCUCGACGGCUGCCAUCGGACUUUGCUCCAGCGACGCUGGACCCACGGCCGCCGUUGGUCCUUGUGCCAGCAGCGCCCGAACCUGCGAUCAUCACCCGACAUCUAGGAAGGCAACAUGCUUGACUCGUGCCGCUGCGCACAACUCCGCCUCCCCGAAUCCCGCCGAUUGCGGCAUGGACUCUCCGAAUGCCGCCGAUUGCGGAUCUGUUUCCCCGGGUGUCCGCAGAUUGCGGUUUUGUUUCCCCGGGUGUCCGCCGAUUGCGGUUUUGUUUCCCCGGGUGUCCGCCGAUUGCGGUUCCGUUUCCCUGGGUGUCCGCCGAUUGCGGUUCCGUUUCCCCGGGUGUCCGCCGAUUGCGGUUCCGUUUCCCCGGGUGUCCGCUGAUUGCGGUUUUGUUUCCCCGGGUGUCCGCCGAUUGCGGCUCUGUUUCCCCGGGCGUCCGCCGAUUUCGGUUUUGUUUCCCCGGGUGUCCGCCGAAUGCAGUUCCGUUUCCCCGGGUGUCCGCCGAGUGCGGCUCUCUGCCCCUAGUCGCCGCCCGAGUGCGGCUUUCUGCCCCAGUGCGGCUCUCUGCCCCUAGUCGCCGCCCCAGUGCGGCUCUCUGCCCCUAGGCGCCGCCCCUGUGCGGCUCUCUGCCCCUAGUCGCCGCCCCUGUGCGGCUUUCUGCCCCUAGCCGCCCCCCGAGUGCGGCUCUCUGCCCCUAGUCGCCGCCCCAGUGCGGCUCUCUGCCCCUAGUCGCCGCCCCUGUGCGGCUCUCUGCCCCCCCCCCCCCCCCCGCGUGCCGCCGUGGGGGAUUGGAUUUUUGGGACGUCGGGAGCCGUCCCUUGUGGGGGGGUUCUGUCAUGCCUCGUCCCCAGUUUUGGUUAAGUGUCAUCGUUUCUGUGUCUGUGUGCUCGCCCCUCCCUUCCUGUGUGCCCUUGUUUAGUGUAAUCACACGCACCUGCCUCUCGUUACCUGUGUUGUAUUUAAGUUCUGUUUGAGUAUCACUCGCGGUCGGAGCAUUGUGUGCGUAAGAUGUGGACAAUGCAUGUCUCGCGGUCACGGUUUGUUUGGUUCCUGUCUUUUGUUUCACGCUUUGGUCUGUUAGUCUUGUUAGUUGGUUGUUUAGUCACGUCAGUUUGCCGAGUCUUUUGAGUUUGCUGCAAUAAACCCUGGUCCAAGCUGCACUUGGUCGCCCUGCUCCAUUUCUCUACUCCGCACCGUGACAAAUGUAGUCAAGCUAAAUUGUAUAUGUAUCAACAUCCCAAGAUCUGAAAAAAGAAACUAAAAAAAAAGCUGGUAAAAACCAAAAUAUCUUUGAAUUUGACAGCCGAUGAUGAUCUGACCGAAAUUGAUGCAAUUGGUGUUCCCGGAGGAGUGCCGGAUAAGUGUAAGCUGGUGAAUCAGAUAGCUGGUUUUGAAUCCACCCUGUGUUGGGAGUGUACUCUUAACAAAAAUGUCGACAGGAUCAACUACAUCCAUUACAACGUGCAGAGGCUUGGAAAUUGGACCGAGGCGGGUUUCAGGGCGGUCCACUCCCAACUGGCCGCUACUUCCUCAUGGCUUUCCAGAACCGAAUGACCCUUGACAUGCUACUCUCAAAAGAGGGUGGUGUCUGCGCCAUGUUUGAUGGGACCGGCUCGUUUCUGAGAAACAAACUCAGUGCUCCCACUAAUUCAACGUAAUGACAGGGAGGACAUCUUACAAGGACAUCUCGCCGGUGAGGAACGUGAAUAACAACUCGUCUUGGUGGUCCAGACCCAACCGCCCACAACUGAGACCAGACACCUGCGCUGAGCAGCAGAAAAACACCCAAACGAGGAGGAGAUGACCAUCAACCAAUCAUCACACAAUAUUUUGCAUACUUGAAUAUUCAUAUUGUGCUUCCUUAAAACUGGGCAACCCGGAAGAAUGUGUUGUCUCUUGAUGGUCACAAAGGCACAUGAGUUUUUGAUGUUAAGGACCCGGAGACCCAGGCGCCUGUAUUAGUUUGCUUUGUCAGGAUUAAACAAUUGGUAAAUUCGGCCUAAUUGAUCUACUGGUCUUCUCUUUGACAGAACGAACUCGCAAAAUUGUUAGGUGUGACAGUGUGUGGAUUUGGACAUAACAACUCUUGUGUUAAGUGUAGAUCGCAAUUUGGAGUCAGAUCAAUAACUAAAAUCCGCAGCCUAACAGCAAUAACAUCCUGCUCUCCACACCUUUUUUGAAUUGUCUACACUGUUUGUACUCUGUAUCCUAGUCAUCCUGGAAGAGUGACCCUCCCAUCUGUGGUCUCUUCUCAAGGUUUCUCAUUUCCCCUUGUUGGAGUUUUGAGUUUUUCCUUGCCCUCCUGGGAGUUUAAGAUCAGGGGAUGUUUGAGAAUAUUUGUCAUUUUUAGUCAUCACUUUUCACACGUCCUGAGUGUUGUUAGUCACCUAAAUGUUGAAAAGAGGCUGUGAUGUACCGAAGUCAAAUUCCUUGUU